GGCCUUCUCAGGGGUACAUACCCUUCCGGAGAUACACAGGGACCUCUGCCCCCUGGUAGUCAAUGGAAGGACCCUGGGCCACACCACCACCACAGCUGCCACCACGCCAGAUCCAGGGUGCAAGAGAGCUCAACUGCACCGCUCCAGGCAGGCUGCAAGCUGGGCUCAGCUCUGCUGACUCACCUCUCUCCCACCUGCUCCCCUUUCGCAGCCCUCCCACCCGCUUCCCAGCUCCGUGUGCAGCUCCUCUGAUCUCUCUCUCUCUCCUUCCCUGCUCUCCUGGUGGCUGCAUCUGGGGGCGGCGAGCAGCUUCGAUACCUUGGUGCUCAGUCAUGCAAACUGGUUAGCAGCUGCGGGGACUUUUGGAGGUGCCACCACGCCCUUUUCUGCUCAGCCCGGGGAAGAUGGGCCAGCCUUGUCUAGCCUAGAGCCUGCUCUUCAGUCUGGAAGAGAGAUCACGAAGGACUUGAAGGGAGCACAGGUGUAGGAGGGGAGGGAAGGGCAGGAGGGUGUGGUCUCACUGAAGCUCCGCCCCCGCACCUGCCGGCUGCCUGGAAAAACUACCAUUCAAGAGUAAUCUUGGCUCGCCAUGGCUUCCUCCGAGAUGGCUUCUGGAGUUUUCCUUAGGAACUUAAAACAGCUUAGAGAGAACUAGAGAGGAGCCCAGGUGGCAUUCAGCUACGAAUUGUCACUAUAAGGCCUUUCUUGGAUCAUGCAGGCUUCUUCCUGCAUGUAGCUUCUCUCAUCUUUUCUGGAUAUGGGCUGUUCUGGGCAGUAUUGUAUGUUUUGUUAGUUUUGUUUGUUUGUUUUAAAGACUAGGUCUCAUGUAGCCCAGGCUGGCCUCAAACUCAGUGUGUAGCUAAAGAUGAUUGUGAACUCUGGACCCUCCCGCUUUUGCCUCCCAAGGGCUAAUGUUAAAGGUGUGGGUACCAUCACUCCCAGGCAAAUCUUCCAUUUUUGGAGUUUGACAGGAGCAGAUGGAUCUCUGUGAGUUCCAGGCUAGCCUGGUCUACCUGGCAAGUUCCAGGACAGCCACAUACGAAGACUUUAUCUCAAAAAGCAAACAAACCCCAAAGAUGAAAGACUGGAGCAUUCACAUCCUCCCAUGAAAAUAAGCUACACCUUUUAAGGAUGGGAAGGUUUUAACACCCCAGCUUCCCUCCUGGUGUGAGGAGGAAGGACAGCGAUCAAGGGACAAUGAAGUCAAGACCCUUGGCACCCCAUGUCCCCCAACUGGGAGGGAAGACUGAGAGGCAGAGGCUCCUAGGUUGGAAUUUUGCCCUUGGGACUUGGCAGCUGUGUGACCUUGGGCAGGUAAAUUUGUCCGUGUGUGUGUGUGUGUGUGUGUGUGUGUGUGUGUGUGUGUGAUAUUCAUAUAUCUAUCUUCAUUUUGUAUGAACUAAAUGAGAGCCUGUGUGUGACUGGGCAUGGCAGGUAUGGGGGUCUGG
rnacentral:lncRNA from 1 species